UCAAAUUGAUGUGGCAGAGUUUGUAGAUC
rnacentral:sRNA from 1 species